GACGAACGCUGGCGGCGUGCUUAACACAUGCAAGUCGAACGGAAAGGCCCUGCUUUUGUGGGGUGCUCGAGUGGCGAACGGGUGAGUAACACGUGAGUAACCUGCCCUUGACUUUGGGAUAACUUCAGGAAACUGGGGCUAAUACCGGAUAGGAGCUCCUGCUGCAUGGUGGGGGUUGGAAAGUUUCGGCGGUUGGGGCUGGACUCGCGGCUUAUCAGCUUGUUGGUGGGGUAGUGGUUUACCAAGGCUUUGAAGGGUAGCCGGCCUGAGAGGGUGACCGGCCACAAUGGGACUGAGAGACGGCCCAGACUCCUACGGGAGGCAGUAGUGGGGAAUAUUACACAAUGAGCGGAAGCCUGAUGCAGCAACGCCGCGUGCGGGAUGACGGCCUUCGGGGUGUAAACAGCUUUCGCCUGUGACGAAGAGUGAGUGACGGUAAUGGGUAAAGAAGCACCGGCUAACUACGUG
rnacentral:rRNA from 1 species